UCACUUUCUCUGGGCAUGUGUGUAUCAGCCACCUUUUUAACGAUAGUAGGAUUAAGAUGUUUGAGAGGGCAACAAUGGAAGUGACCAAAUAGAUAAUGUGGACACAGAAAGAACCAUUAAGUGGAGAAGACUUGACAACACAGUAGAAAUUUCACAUCCACGGAUAUCCAGGGGCAGAAAUGUGACUAAAAAUACAAACUGUAUUCAUCACACACCCAAGCUAGAAGUUGGCUUUCAAAACGAGAGACUUCGGGAAGACACAGUUCAUCCAACUUUGGUGUCAAAU